CUCCUUGGGCCGCCACUGGGCCGGGGAGAUGUUUCUUUAGCGCUGCAAUAAUCCUGGAAUUAAAGCGCGUGUGGAGGAGGAGGAAAGGCAAGAGCCCAGGCAAUGAAGUCUCCCAGGUGUGUGCCUCGGUGCCAGCACACACGCAGCCCGGCAGCGCCAGCGGCGGGGGCUGGUGGCCAAGGGGCCGCGAUCGGCUGCUCCGCGCCUGGCCCCGUGCUCGGGGAGGCCGCUCGGCCCCGGAGCCCUGGCUCCGGUCCCCGAUAAGUGACCACCCAGCAGCCCCGGGGCCAGGGCGUCCCUCGGGCUAACACGAGCGUCUGCCAGCUCCGGCAGGACGGUUCCGGCUCCACGGGUCCUCUCGCUCGAUCCCCGUCCCCAGGUUCACGACUGACGAGAGGUGAAGGUCUGAUAUGAGCAAGGGAAGCAAACAGAUCAGAGGACACACGACCCAGCCGCCCCUGCACACGCAGCCAGCAUGGAGGACAAUGUCCUACCAAGGCAGGAAGCACUCGCCUGGGCCCAGCCCCCUGCCACAGCUUGCAAAUGCACUGGGGUGACGGCUGAGGUCCCUAGGAGAGCAGCACUGAUUGCUACCGAGCCCUUGCCUGCGGCAGCCCCGAAGUUUUCGGCCAUGAGGCGUGUAGCCCGCAUCCGUUCCCAGCCGGGGUCACUGCACCCCGGGCCGGGCCAAGGGCUCGCUCCGCACGUAGCAGCGCGGCCGUCACAAGGACACUCUUCCUUCCUGAGGAGCUCACCUCAGAAAGGGGGAGGGGGGUUAAUCAGAUCUGUCCUCCCUCAUGGCCCUGCCCCCCGUGGUCAAAACAGCAGCUCCAGCUGCAACGCAGGGGCUGGGAGGGGACACAGGAAAGAAGAGAAAUCUUGACAGAGCGCAGCCCAGUGCAGAGAUCUCCCCCCGCGCAGCGCGGCAAGCGGCAACCACAGUCGCUCCCAAGCAAGUGUCUGGCUUGAAACCAGUGAAGAGGUGAACCCUGGAAAGCGCUGAGGCGUGCAGGGGAGUGUGCUCCUGAAACGGCAUCGCAAACACUGGGGGAGGGACUUCCACAAUUUUGUCAAAUUAAAAGUGAAACAGCAGCGUCUUCUGCUGCAAACUGCCAGGAAGUGUCAAAACACGUAGUUACAAAGAGCAAGAGUGUAAUUACGUGUUUCUGUUUAUCGUUUCAGUUACCCAUUCUCUGCAGAUUACAGGCCCUAUUCGAAAAUACACCAGCUCCGGGGGCCUGUUGUUCUCUGCAGGCCUUCUUUCCAGCCUCCUGCCUAGGACUGCUCCUUCCUUCCUUUCUCUUUUUUAAACGGUGCCAUUGGUUUCUCUGCAUGCUGGAGUUUACCAUGUUUUGCUGUUUCUGCGUGGACGCCUGCACAAUCACUUUCGCCAACACAGAGCAGGGCUUGCAAGGGGGUCCGUCUGUCUGUCUGGGGCCCUUUUACUGCUAACUAUGUGAUCCCAGUGUACAAAAUAGGUAACUUGGUUUCCCCCCAAACCAUGCAAAAGUCCCACUUCUUCCCCAGAAAGCAGCCCUGCUUCCCUUGACAGGCCCAUUCCAACCACUUUUCAUACAACUGUAUUUAUGGCUUUUUAAAAUAAUCUGUGGGCCCAGAUUUCCAGGUGCCCACAUUUGCCAAAUCUUACAGUGCAAAAUUAGACACCCGUCAUUAUUUCUGUUUGCUCUGAAAGAGCCUAGUGACUGCUGGACGGCACCUCUUGUGAGCCUGCGUUUGCCACUGUUGUUAUUUUUAUUUUACUCAUUGACUGUAUUCAGCUUACAUCCUGGGGACGUAGUAAACAAUCAACAAUAAUGAAUCAACUGAAUCGGUUCUUUUUUUUUUUUUUAGGCUAUUCCCACUGAGAGCCACUUGCACUUUCGUGACAGUUAAGAAUCUGCCAAACAUUAGCUUAGUUACCAGCAAGACAGCCUCCCCCUCCCUUCACCUCAUACACAGAUUGUUUAUCAAAACGUGCUGCCAAGAAAAAUAUCCCAGCUUUUGGCCUCCACCAGUGAUUAAUAACACUUGAGAACUGAACAAAACUUUACUGUGUUUUCAAAAAAAAAAAUAGUGGGAGGUGGGAAGGAGGAGAGGGAAAAGCCAAAUUUGAAAGAGAGACAGAAAGAAAGAGAGAAAGAAAGAAUUGUAAUGUUUAAAAUCAUGUUUCAAGCUAGAAACUCCUUUCCCACUGUAACUAGGCCAUUUGAGAGAACUAAAGCACAUUUCCCCUGUCCCUGUUAUAAAUGCUGGUUAACACUGGACUAUUGAAAGGAGGAUGUUUAGGAGGGAUAGGAGGGUAGGAGCAGGCGAGCGGAGGAAGCGCUUUACUGUUAUUUGGAUUUGUUCCAAGAUGAGCUAUGGGGGAAAGGGGAGAGGGGAAAAAGGAUCAUUUACUUUCUUUCCAAAGACUGCUGGUAAAAUUCCUAAGGGAGAUCAAGUGCCAAAAUUAACUGUCUUGACGUAUUACUUUUAGACAGUAUUGCCUGAGUGAAUUAAGCCGCAGUUUCAAGAAGCCGGCCUAGGAUAGCUGCAAGCUGAGAAAGCAGCACACCUAUCCUCCUGCCUUGGGGGAAACCUCUCAUUCUUGUGCUGAUGGGUUUCCUUCCGGGCUUUCCGUCUCACUGCGCUAUUCUUUGUGUCCCUCUGUCUGUCAUUAUCUCUGUGUCUUGUAGUGGGAGAGGGUCAGAGAAAAAGCAGCACAUAAGAAAAGAAAGAGAAAAGCAGAAGUUUGUAACAAUCCCUCCAUACCCAUCCCUAUAUUGCCCAUACGGUGUUAUGCACUGUUUUGUACAACUGAAGACAUGACUUUAGAGAAACAGAAAAAUAGCUCUUGAACAGUGGGAUCCAGACAAGUGAAAACAGUUUACUGAAAUUAAUGGUGCUGAAUUGAACCAAACCUCCACUUUGGAAAUAGUGCCAGACAUAGUUUUCCUGAACCCUGUCCAACUGCCUGAGCGACAGAUAAUUUUCAUUCUAUUUGUGCUAAAGGCUUAUGACUAGUGCUGGAAAAUGAAGCCCUUGCCCUUGAUCUCAGCACAGAUUAACAAAAAAAAAAGCAGCACUGUGCCAAUUUGUUUCUUCUGCCAGGAGAAGCCCUUGUGCUUUGGGUAAUGCAAAACAAUCAAAAGUUCUCAUGAAAACUCUUCAUUGAAAGGAAACCCACCAAGAGCCAUGUCUCCCUGCUGCACUCAGCAGCCAGUUUCCAAGAUUCUCACAAUGUCAGCAAACUGCAGAGGGCAAGGGCAGAAAAUAUCCGCCAGCCCCCGCUUUCUCUCUCUUGUCCAUCACCCACUGCCUGUGCAGGGGGAGACUCUGGAUAAUGCCUGGGAUCGUAAAUACCCCAGUUCCUUCUUCCUGCUAAUUCUGCUCUUCUCCCCUCCAGGACUGCCUGCAACAUUUGUGCUGUCAGAAGCUGAUCCUAUUUCUGAAGGGUGAAAUGCACAUUUGAGACGCACUCACAUGCAGUUAUAAACAGCGGCUACCCUGUACUGCUGUCAGCCAAUUAAUCUGCAAUGGCUUUUUCUUAGAUUAUGAAUAAAAUGAGAAUCCCGA